CUAGGAGGCAACAUCUUAAAUCCAUCUGACAUCUUAACAGAGAAUCUUAUAGCUGUAAAUGAAUUAGUCACUACUGACAUUCUAUCUGGAAAUCUCCUUAUUCCAGCCCACAGAUAGAGAGAGACAGAAUGUGAGCAUGGGAAGGGCAGAGAGAGAGGGAGACAUAGAAUCCAAAG